AAUUGAAGAGUUUGAUCCUGGCUCAGAUUGAACGCUGGCGGCAUGGCUAAAACAUGCAAGUCGAACGAUGUAGCAAUACAUAGUGGCGAAAGGGCGAGGAAUAGAUUCCUACAUACCUCGAGGUCGGGGAUACCCCGGAGAAAUCCGGAUCAAUACCCGAUGUGGUCGAGAGAUCAAAGGUUUACCGCCUUGAGAGUGGGGAAUCUCCUAUCAGCUAGUUGGUGAGGUAAUGGCUCACCAAGGCGAAGACGGGUAGCGGGUGUGAGAGCACGGCCCGCCGCAUCGAGACUGAGACACUGCUCGGACUCCUACGGGAGGCUGCAGUAACGAAUCUUCCGCAAUGCGCGAAAGCGUGACGGGGCAAUGCCGCGUGCAGGAUGAAGCCCCUCGGGGUGUAAAC
rnacentral:rRNA from 1 species